rnacentral:rRNA from 1 species
AUGCAAGUCGAACGGCAGCACGGACUUCGGUCUGGUGGCGGGUGGCGAACGGGUGAGUAACAUAUCGGAACGUAUCCAAUAAUGGGGGAUAACUAAUCGAAAGGUUGGCUAAUACCGCAUACGCCCUACGGGGGAAAGCUAGGGACCUUCGGGCCUGGCGUUAAUGGAGCGGCCGAUAUCUGAUUAGCUAGUUGGUGGGGUAAAGGCCCACCAAGGCGACGAUCAGUAGCUGGUCUGAGAGGACGACCAGCCACACUGGAACUGAGACACGGUCCAGACUCCUACGGGAGGCAGCAGUGGGGAAUUUUGGACAAUGGGCGCAAGCCUGAUCCAGCCAUUCCGCGUGAGUGAAGAAGGCCUUCGGGUUGUAAAGCUCUUUCGCAAGGGAAGAAAACUUAGGCUCUAACAUAGCCUGAGGUUGACGGUACCUUGAUAAGAAGCACCGGCUAACUACGUGCCAGCAGCCGCGGUAAUACGUAGGGUGCGAGCGUUAAUCGGAAUUACUGGGCGUAAAGCGUGCGCAGGCGGUUUUGUAAGUCAGAUGUGAAAUCCCCGAGCUCAACUUGGGAACUGCGUUUGAAACUACAAGACUAGAAUAUGUCAGAGGGGGGUAGAAUUCCACGUGUAGCAGUGAAAUGCGUAGAGAUGUGGAGGAAUACCAAUGGCGAAGGCAGCCCCCUGGGAUAAUAUUGACGCUCAUGCACGAAAGCGUGGGGAGCAAACAGGAUUAGAUACCCUGGUAGUCCACGCCCUAAACGAUGUCUACUAGUUGUUGGCGGAGUAAAAUCCAUGAGUAACGCAGCUAACGC